UGUCCUCUAAAUAGGGACCAGCAUGAAUGGCAACAUGAGAAAGGGCCUGUCUCUUAAGGCCAGUCAAUGAAACUGAUCUUCCUGUACAAAAGCAGGCAUAAAAAAACAAGACAAAAAGACCCUGUGAAACUUUAAAUGCCCUCCAACCAAAUGGAAGGGCAUUUUUCGGUUGGGGCAACCAAAGAGAAACAAACCUCGCUCUAUCACAAGACAAACAAGCCAAGUGAACAAAGAAAGAUCCAGUCCUACUGAUCAAUGAACAAAGCUACUCCAGGGAUAACAGCGCCACAUUCUUAAAGAGUCCUUAUCAACAAGAAUACCUACGACCUCGAUGUUGGAUCAGGGUACCCAAAUGGCGCAAAAGCUAUUAAAGGUUCGUUUGUUCAACGAUUAAAAC
rnacentral:rRNA from 1 species